AAUGCAAAUGAUUAGAAAUGUAACUCCAUGAAAGCUAUGAAAUUUUACAUAUAGCUUUUGUUAUUGAAAAAAAAUGUUUUAGCAACAUUUUGUUUCAAAUGAUCUUUUUACAACUAUUUGAUGCAAAUUAUUAAAAAUGAAACUGCAUGAAAGAUUUUUUUUUUUUUUACACAGCUAAAUGACAUAUAAUGCAAAACCUUACUGAUAAUAAAUGACAACAAUUGCAUCAUUCUUACGGCGUCUGAUACAUCGCUUGAAGUUUCCGUUUUCAAAACAAACUGUGUUUUAAAAGGUUUAUGAGACCAAAUAUAAGAUGCAGUGACUGCCUUACACAGGCCCCAGAUCACAUUGUCAUCCUUAUUGUUGAGCUCUGAAGUAGUUUGCCCUGCACAAGCACCAUCCAAUUCGAGAUAUCACUCGGUACAUCCUCUCAUUGUUUCCUUCAACUUAUAUCUGUAUGGUAAUGAUGCUUCUGUAUUGAUGGAUUUCAGCUUCUGUGUCUAAAAUGCUGUUCCAAAGUAUGUGUGUAUGGACCAAUGCAAAAGACAUGAGGGGAUUUCAAUUCAAAGCACUCAAUAAAAUAACUAACAUCACAUCAGGAAAUCUCAUAUUGAGAACAGACAAUAGAAAAGUGCCUCCCGGUGUCCAUCAGCUACAUUCGAGAAGACUGUCUAUGUUUUAAAGAUUCUCUUUGGUCCAAGAUGGAUUGAGUCAUGUACAGCAGCACAGAGCAGGACAUUUCACACACAGCCAAGCUCCCCUCAAUACUAAAGCCUGCAAUAUAGUCAUCAAACCAAACCACAACGCUCACACGCUGCACAUUCCCAGCAUGCAAUGGACUUCACCCAUGGUCUUGAAUAUAGUAACCAGUCACCACACCCCUGUCCAACUGUUUAGAAAACGACCUUUACUAGAGCAUUGAACUCAUCUUAAAACAUGAAAAGAAGAAAAAAAAAAAAAAAAAAAAAAAAAAGUGGAGGAAGAUUGAAGGAACAAAGCUACCUGCUAAAAUCUUUUUUUCUAAUAGUAUUGUGUGGAAGAUGUAAAAGAUGUACGAAUGUGUUCAGAAGAUCUUUGCAGCUUUACGCUCAUUUGAAAGUGAAUGCACUGAUUUGACAGAAGAGCUGCCUCUACACAAACUGCAUUACUCAUUUAGAUGUAUAUCUUGCAUUUAGAAAUGGGAAAAAAUAUAAUAAUAGGUAAAACAGAGGGAUAAUUUGCAUCCAGAAUCCACAAUAUCAGUAAAGGACUUAACUAGUGCCACAUGUAUCUCUCUCACAUGACCCUGAGAAGCUUUAGAGGAUUGCUGGAAACCCAACACUGUGGCCGUCCUUUGUACAGCAUGCUGCUAACAUAAACCUGAGCAUUUAGACGCGUGGGGUUAAGCUGAAGAACAGACUUAUCAGAUCAAAUGUUUCAAAAUGGCACUGGAUAAGGCCUUUUAAGUAAUUCUACCCUUUAGCUGUGUUUCAACCGGUUCCGAGGUCUCUCUAUCUCUCUCCUCCGUUUCAUUACCCGCCUCUGCUCUUCACUUCGCGGUUCUUCUUUCUAGCUUGACAGUUGUGUCGUCUUUAUCGUAAUGUGUUUUAUUAAUUGGUUUACACUGAUACUCCUUGCUGUAAACGUGAAUUUGGAAAUAAAGUCCGUAUUAAACUGC